rnacentral:rRNA from 1 species
UACUAGAGUAGCACUCGCAUAUCAAUAAGCGGAGGAAAAGAAACUAACAAGGAUUCCCCUAGUAACGGCGAGUGAAGCGGGAAGAGCUCAAAUUUGAAAUCUUAAAGGGUUUCCCUUUACGAAUUGUAGUUUAAAGAAGUGUUUUCUGUUGAGGUUUUGGUAAAAGUUCUUUGGAAUAGGACAUCAUAGAGGGUGAGAAUCCCGUAUUUGACCUUUACUUUCAACUUUGUGAUACACUUUCAAAGAGUCGGAUUGUCUGGGAAUGCAGUCCAAAAUGGGUGGUAAAUUUCAUCUAAAGCUAAAUAUUGGCGAGAGACCGAUAGCGAACAAGUACCGUGAGGGAAAGAUGAAAAGAACUUUGAAAAGAGAGUUAAACAGUACGUGAAAUUGUCAAAAGGGAAGCGUUUGACACCAAUGUUGUUUUUCUGAAAAUCAAUUAAAGAACUGUUUAUGCUAAGCUGUUUAGACUUUAUCAGCUAUCUGUUUAGUUUUGAGCUUUUCUUUAAUGCACUUUUCAGUUAACAAGUCAACAUCAAUUUCUUUUGCUGUAAAAAAGCUUGAGGAAGGUGGCUUGAGAUUCGUCUUAAGUGUUUAUAGCCUCUUGCCUAUGCAGUCGGAGAGAUUGAGGUCUGCAGCGUAGAUCCUUCGGGGCUAAAUGCAUUUGUGCUAAGUUAUAGCAUUUUAUAGACAACUUGUUGACUAUGAUUUGUCUUGUAGCUUACUCGCUUAUGUUAUUUUACCUACGCUUAGGAUGUUGAGCGCAUGUCUCUCUCU